rnacentral:rRNA from 1 species
GACGAACGCUGGCGGCGUGCUUAACACAUGCAAGUCGAACGGAAAGGCCCUGCUUUUGUGGGGUGCUCGAGUGGCGAACGGGUGAGUAACACGUGAGUAACCUGCCCUUGACUUUGGGAUAACUUCAGGAAACUGGGGCUAAUACCGGAUAGGAGCUCCUGCUGCAUGGUGGGGGUUGGAAAGUUUCGGCGGUUGGGGAUGGACUCGCGGCUUAUCAGCUUGUUGGUGGGGUAGUGGCUUACCAAGGCUUUGACGGGUAGCCGGCCUGAGAGGGUGACCGGCCACAUGGGGACUGAGAUACGGCCCAGACUCCUACGGGAGGCAGCAGUGGGGAAUAUUGCGCAAUGGGCGGAAGCCUGAUGCAGCGACGCCGCGUGCGGGAUGACGGCCUUCGGGUUGUAAACCGCUUUCGCCUGUGACGAAGCGUGAGUGACGGUAAUGGGUAAAGAAGCACCGGCUAACUACGUG